rnacentral:rRNA from 1 species
GACGAACGCUGGCGGCGUGCCUAACACAUGCAAGUCGAGCGGUAAGGCCCUUUCGGGGGUACACGAGCGGCGAACGGGUGAGUAACACGUGGGUGACCUGCCCUCAGCUCUGGGAUAAGCCUGGGAAACCGGGUCUAAUACUGGAUAUGACUCCAUGACGCAUGUUGUGGGGUGGAAAGCCUUGUGCGGCUGAGGAUGGGCCCGCGGCCUAUCAGCUUGUUGGUGGGGUGANGGCCUACCAAGGCGACGACGGGUAGCCGGCCUGAGAGGGCGACCGGCCACACUGGGACUGAGACACGGCCCAGACUCCUACGGGAGGCAGCAGUGGGGAAUCUUGCGCAAUGGGCGAAAGCCUGACGCAGCGACGCCGCGUGAGGGAUGACGGCCU